GUUGCAUCAAGGUGGUUGGUGCAAGUUCUUGGUAGCGUAUUCUGAAGACCCUGUGUCUUAACCACACCCCCAAAGAAAUCUCUGAUGGCAUGUCCUCCAGAUACAUCAUUUGCGUCCAUAAAUAAUCCAGCAUCACUCAGGCACUUCACUUUAGUAUGUGGGAGCGAAUUGCUGAAAUCAUCACAAUGCAUUAUUGAAGCUAGACCACCAGCAGAACAUCCAGAGAGAAGAGCCUGCUUGGCGUAUCGCAUUCCUUUUGACCUUAACUCCUCCAUUGCAGCUUGAUAUAUGCGCUUGCCUCUAUAUUGCAACCCUGCAGCCUUAUCUUCACUAUCCCCGGUAAAUGAGGCACCAUCACAGUAGCGAACUUUUACUCUA
rnacentral:misc_RNA from 1 species